GAUGAACGCUAGCGGCAGGCUUAAUACAUGCAAGUCGAGGGGCAGCAUGAUUGUAGCAAUACAAUUGAUGGCGACCGGCAAAUGGGUGCGGAACACGUACACAACCUCCCAAUAAGUGGGGAAUAGCCCAGAGAAAUUUGGAUUAAUACCCCGUAACAUAAAGAUGUGGCAUCACAUUGUUAUUAUAGAUUUUUCGCUUAUUGAUGGGUGUGCGGCUGAUUAGAUAGUUGGCGGGGUAACGGCCCACCAAGUCUACGAUCAGUAGCUGAUGUGAGAGCAUGAUCAUCCACAAGGGCACUGAGACACGGGCCCGACUCCUACGGGAGGCAGCAGUAAGGAAUAUUGGACAAUGGACGCAAGUCUGAUCCAGCCAUGCCGGGGUAAGGAUUAAGGUCCUCUGGAUUGUAAUCUUCUUUUAUAAGGGACGAAAAAAGGCUUUUCUAAGUCGUCUGACGGUACCUUAUGAAUAAGCACCGGCUAACUCCGUGCCAGCCGCCGCCGUAAAAC
rnacentral:rRNA from 1 species